rnacentral:rRNA from 1 species
AAAGGAAAGUAGCGAAGCACAUGAUGACGGCUUCCAGGAAAAGCUUCUGGCAAUGCAUAUGCGGCCCGUACCAAAACCGACACAGGUGGGCAGGGAGAGAAUCCCGAGGUGAGCGAGAGAACUGUUGCCAAGGAACUCGGCAAAAUGACUCCGUAAGUUAGCGAGAAGGAGUGCUUAAGCAAUUAAGCCGCAGUGAAGAGGCCCAAGCGACUGUUUAACUAAAACACAGCUUUCUGCGAAGUCGCAAGACGAAGUAUAGGGGGUGACACCUGCCCGGUGCUGGAAGGUUAAGAGGAUCUGUUAAGAGCGAUCUGAAGCAGUGAUCCGAAGCCCCAGUGAACGGCGGCCGUAACUAUAACGGUCCUAAGGUAGCGAAAUUCCUUGUCAGGUAAGUUCUGACCCGCACGAAAGGUGUAACGAUUUGGGCGCUGUCUCGGCAGCAGACUCGGUGAAAUCUUAGUACCUGUGAAAAUGCAGGUUACCCGCAACUAGACGGAAAGACCCCAUGGAGCUUUACUGCAGCCUGAUAUUGAAUUCUGGUCAUACAUGUACAGGAUAGGUGGGAGACAAAGAAACGUGCACGCCAGUGUACGAGGAGUCGACGUUGGGAUACCACUCUUGUGUGACCGGGGUUCUAACCUGGUAUCGAGAACAGGUACGGGGAGAGUGUCAGGUGGGCAGUUUGACUGGGGCGGUCGCCUCCCAAAGAGUAACGGAGGCGCCCAAAGGUACGCUCAGAUUGGAUGGAAACCAAUCGACGAGUGCAAUUGCAGAAGCGUGCUUGACUGUGAGACAGACAAGUCGAACAGGGACGAAAGUCGGGAAUAGUGAUCCGGCGGUGCCGAAUGGAAGGGCCGUCGCUCAACGGAUAAAAGCUACCCUGGGGAUAACAGGCUGAUCUCGCCCAAGAGUUCACAUCGACGGCGAGGUUUGGCACCUCGAUGUCGGCUCAUCGCAUCCUGGAGCUGGAUUCGGUUCCAAGGGUUGGGCUGUCCGCCCAUUAAAGCGGUACGCGAGCUGGGUUCAGAACGUCGUGAGACAGUUCGGUCCCUAUCUGUUGUGGGCGAAGGAGAUCUGCGGAGAGCUGUCCUCAGUACGAGAGGACCGGGAUGGACCUACCGCUGGUGCACCGGUUGUUCCGCCAGGGGCAUAGCCGGGUAGCUAAGUAGGGAAAGGGUAAGCGCUGAAAGCAUCUAAGCACGAAGCCUACUCCAAGAUGAGAUCUCCCAUUCGCAAGAAGUAAGACCCCUUAAAGACGAUAAGGUAGAUAGGCCAGGGAUGGAAGUGCAGUGAUGUACGGAGUUGACUGGUACUAAUCGGUCGAGGACUUAGU